rnacentral:lncRNA from 1 species
GAGGAGGAAAGGAAAGGCCGCGGGGGCUUCGAGAGAGUAGGCGGCCUAGGGCCCUGCUCCGGUCGGUCGUCGUGAGGGGCUUCCUUUGGAGUCCACAGGAUUGCAAAGAACGGCUGUUGUUGUUGUUGUUGAUGAUGAUGAUAAUAAGUUUAUUAUUAUUCUAAAUUAUUAUUAUGGAUUAUUAUUAUAUUAUUGUUUGUUGUUGUUUGUUUGUUUAUUAUUAUUAUUAUUAUUAUUUCUCAGGAAAAAUUUGAGGUGUGGAAAUCUGGAUGCUUCCAGCAACCUUGUCCGGUUGCUUCAAUUCGCACCUGGACCCAUUAGGAUUUCUAUUAUGGUUCCACAAUGGAAAAUGCUUUCUGGUUCCACAACUGGUGUUAGCCGCCCUGAGCCCAGCUCUGGCCAGGGAGGGCGGGGCACUCAUAGAAAAGAAAUCAAACAAGCAUCUGCCAGCACAAAAUUGGCAUUGCAUGCCAGAUUACUCUUAUUGCAGAACGUGAUACAGGAGUACCAUGUUUUCAAUAGUAAAUGUAAGGAGGAUUGGGGGGGGGGAUCUAGAAAAACUUUGCAUCCACGUUCAUUGCAAGUAUCCUGAUUUUAUUCCUGUUUAUUUAGAGCUGCAUGUCUGCAAAUUCAGUCGGACUUACUUCACUCAGACUUACCAUGUGUUUAGGACUGAAACCUUACAGAUCCUGAGUUGCUGCUUACUUUCCCACUGCUUAUUUCACCAGUUAUAUAGCCGCACUGAAAAGAAGAUUGCCUUGUAGCCCUGCAAACUUAUAUCUGAAAAGUUGAUCUGAAAAAGCCACUUGGCAGGUUUAGCCAUAAAGCCACAUAUCACUUACCGGCUAGCUUGAGAAAAAGAUACUUUCUGUGGAUUGGCCUCAGAGGAGUUCUCCUAACUAUUUUUGAUGACACUAGUUCUAGUAGUAACCUCAGUGAGUGAGGAAACCAAUGUUAUCUGAGGUUAGCACAGGCUUUUCUGUUUCACCAUGCACUGAGUUUUAUAGUUCCUCAAACACUUUAUAACAGUCUGUAUCACAAUCCAAAAUAUUCAUUAGCAUCUUCUUUUAAGAAUGGCUUUGAUUGAACAUCAAGUUGUCUAUACAUUUGUCUAUACAGUUGUCUAUCCAGUUGAGAGCCAGUGUGGUGUAGUGGUUAAGAGCGAUAGACUCGUAAUCUGGUGAACCAGGUUCACGUCUCCGCUCCUCCACAUGCCGCUGCUGGGUGACCUUCAGCUAGUCACACUUCUUUGAAGUCUCUCAGCCCCACUCACCUCACAGAGUGUUUGUUGUGGGGGAGGAAGGGAAAGGAGAAUGUUAGCCGCUUUGAGACUCCUUCGGGUAGUGAUAAAGCGGGAUAUCAAAUCCAAACUCUUCUUCUUCUUCUUCUACAUCUGCAAGCAUUGCACAUCUUUUAAAAUUAACAUCAACAUGUUAAAUACAUGUGCAAAGCUGCCUUCAGUUCU